CGCAGGGAGGCAGGUGUGGACAGGCUCCCCAGGAGGAGCCAGCACACAGAGCAGGGAGAAGGCGGCUCCAGGGGAGGAAACAGCAGGACAAAAACCUGGAGGCUGAAAAGAACUGAGCACACUGGGGUGAUUAACAGGAGGCUUCCAAGGAGGCACUGGCAUGGGAGGAAAGAAACCCAUCAAGGCAGAGGAUCUGAAUGCAUAUGCUUCCCAAAGAAAUUUUUACAAGAGAAACUUAAACCGCUACUGCCAGGAGCACUGGCCAUUCCAGCCAUGCCUCACUGGGAGGCCCUGAGCAUUCUAGCCGGCGGCUGCACAGCUGCUGGGGCAUCUCCAUGAGGAAGAGGGCGGUGGACAGGAGUCAUGAAGACUAAUUCGGAAACUCCCCUGAAGGAGGAGAAGACAUCUGAGCCAUCCUUGUGCCACCAAGCAAGAGUCACUCCAGCUCCUAAAAAGCCACCAUGGGAAGAGCUGCCUCCAAUUAAAGUUCUUGAUUGCACCAGAGGAUGUGUCCUUCUCUUUUCCUUUCCCCCUUACCAACUAAUGUCUUAUUAUUUUUAAAUAUAUUGUCACAUCUAACUAAGCUUAAAAAAUUUAGCCUAUUGGCUGGGCGCAGUGGCUCACGCCUGUAAUCCCAACACUUUGGGAGACCGAGGCAGGUGGAUCACAUGAGGUCAUAAGUUCAAGACCAGCCUGGCCAAUGCGGUGAAACCCCAUCUGUGCUAAAAAUAAAAAAAUCUGCCAGGUGUGGUGGCGUGCUCCUGUAAUCUCAGCUACUAGGGAGGCUGAGGCAGGAGAAUCACUUGAACCCAGGAGGCAGAGGUUGCAAUGAGCUGAGAUCUCGCCGCUGCACUCCAGCCUGGGUAACAGAGUGAGACUCCGUGAAAGAAAGAAAGGAAGGGAAGGGGGAAGGGGGAAGGGAAGAAAGAAAAAAGAGAGAGAGAGGAAGGAGAAAACAGCUUUUUGGAUACCUUCUGAAAUAAUUCCAAAUUUACAGAAAUGUCACAAGAAUAAUACAGAGAACUCCCAUUUAC
rnacentral:lncRNA from 10 species